GGGGCGGGGAGGCGGAGGGGCGGACCUCGACGGGGCGGCCCCGAAGGCGGGGGCCAGGAAAGGCGGAAGGACCGGGCCGGUGGACCCUGCGGCCGAGAGCUGAACUGCUCCCCUCGCCAGGCGGCCGGGCCGGAGGAACCCCCCGAGUCCCAGCCCAGCGGGCGCCAUGGAGACGCUGCUGUGGUUCUGCAACUGGAGCACGCUGGGCGUGUGCGCGGCGCUCAAGCUGCCGCAGAUCUCGGUUGUGCUGGGGGCGCGCAGCUCGCGGGGCAUCAGCCUCCCGAGCCUGCUGCUGGAGCUGGCGGGGUUCCUGGUCUUCCUCCGGUACCAGUGUUACUAUGAGUACCCGCUGCUGACAUACCUGGAGUACCCCAUCCUCAUCGCACAAGAUCUCAUCCUCCUGCUGUGUGUCUUCCACUUCAAUGGGGAUGUGAGACGGGCAGCGCCGUACAUCAUCGUCUGCGUGUCUGCUUGGUUCCUCCUCACUCUGCAGCAGUGGAUCCUAGAUCUGGCCAUGAACUUAUGCACUUUCAUCAGUGCGGCCAGUAAGUUUGCGCAGCUCCAAUACCUGUGGAAGAGCAGGGACUCAGGAGCCGCAAGCGCUCUGACGUGGAGCCUCGCUUCUUAUACUUGUGCAGCAAGAAUAAUGACAACUUUAAUGACCACCAAUGAUCUUACAAGGUUACCGUGAUGGAGGAGAAAACAAACUUGGGUUAACUUAAAGAGAAUGUCGUUCAUUCCUUAGGCUGAAUUUUCAAGCAUAUAAAUGUUUGGAAAAUGAUUAAAACAGUUCUUACACGUUUCGUGAUCAUGCUGGCCUUAAACAUAUGGGUAACUGCUACAAUACUUCACUACCGGAAGACCGAUAUAAAGUCUGAAUGAUGGAUUAUUCCUAUACACAAAGUGGAUUCUGAAAAACGGAACCAAAGGAAAAAAAAGCUCACUGCUAAAUCAUGAGUUUAGUCAACCGUGCCAAAGAUACUUUAGACUUGAAAAAGCCCAGUUACACACUUGUUUAAAAAUGCUGAUUUUUAAAAAUCCUCUGCCCCCACUUUAUUAGGUUAAGGUAGGACUUUAGACAUCUGCAAUUCUGAGAAAGCUGGUGAUGGAUGGAAGUCUUCCAAAAAGCCCUUUCUGAUGAGGUAGCUUUGACCCUUAUUCUGGGAACUAACUACAUCUACUUCUCAACUUUUAAAAUCUUUUAAGAAAUACAUGGUCUCCAAAACACAAAUGCACAUGAAUGGAGUGAGAUUUUGGAAAUUUUAAUAACUUACCAGGGUUCACUUCCUGGGAUGAAUGUUUAAUUGUAAUACAGACAUAAUAGGAUGGCCUUAUUGUAUCAUAUUAUCAUAAAAUACCUCCUUGGCUAUGGCAAAGAUAUCAAGGAAGCAAAAAUGUAACUGGUUUGAAUGCAUAUACCAAAGUAGCUCUUUAACUUCAUACUGUACCUUUAAGCAUUUCGUAACAAAAGAUACCAGCAAUCUCUACUUAUGAAGAGGCAAUCCCAAUAUACUUCAAGAUUCAAGCACAGUGCUGCCAUUUUUAAAAGGAUUACACCUGCACAAUUAACUGUUACUGGAAUUUGGUACAAAAUACAGCCAACCUCAACCAGGGUUUGCCUACUGAAAAUAUAUGCAGCAAAGGGUAUUGCUGGGUUCUGCCAAGCUCUCAUGGAUUUAAUUCUCAUCAUGGUAUCAUACUUUAAACAUGCUGUUAAGAUUAUCCACUGUAUUUUCCUAUAAAAGUUUAUAAAACCUAACAUUUAAAAACAUUCACCUAAUAAUUGAGUAGCAUUAUUCUAUUAUAUGCAGUAAGUAAAUGAUGUUUAUUAGAAAGUGUUUCCUGUGUAAAAUAAACUUAUUUUGAACUCUU